rnacentral:rRNA from 1 species
CCGGAGGUACCUGUUUCGCCACGACUUCUCAUUAGGACGACGGUGAGCCGACACUCCCGGGGGGACUAGCACUGGAUGGCUCAUGUGGCCCCACAGGCUUACUGAUCCUAACCAAACUCCGAAUACCCGGGAGUAAUAGAUGGCAGACACACUGCGGGUGCUAACGCCCGUAGUGAAAAGGGAAACAACCCUGACCGACAGUUAAGGCCCCUAAUUCAUGGCUAAGUGGAAAAGCAGGUGAGACGACCAUAACAACCAGGAAGUUGGCUUAGAAGCAGCCAUCUUUUAAAGAUAGCGUAACAGCUCACUGGUCUAAUUAAGUUGUCUUGCGGCGAAAAUGUAACGGGGCUCAAGCCAUGAGCCGAAACUUCGGAUGCAUUUAUGCAUGGUAGCGGAGCGUAGUGUGACAUAGUUCCAUGCGUCUUUAACUUCCUUCGGGGAGUAUUGGACGCAAGGAGCUUUCUGUGAAGCCGGCCUGUGAGGGAUCCGGUGGAGAGAUCACUAGUGAGAAUGAUGACAUGAGUAACGACAAAGGGGGUGAGAGACCCCCUCGCCGAAAAUCCAAGGGUUCCUGCUUAAAGCUAAUCUGAGCAGGGUGAGCCGGCCCCUAAGCCGAGGGCGAAAGCCGUAGGCGAUGGGAACCAGGUUAAUAUUCCUGGGCCAGGAGGAAGUGACGGAUCAUGAAGAUUGUUGGAUCAGGCGUAGUUGCCCCAGCAGUUAAUUGGUUCCUGGAAAUAGCCCUCCAUCAGACCGUACCCUAAACCGACACAGGUGGAUAGGUAGAGUAUACCAAGGCGCUUGAGAGAACUAUGUUGAAGGAACUCGGCAAAAUACCUCCGUAAGUUCGCGAGAAGGAGGCCCGGUUUCUAGGCAACUGGAAGCUGGGGGCACAAACCAGGGGGUGGCGACUGUUUACUAAAAACACAGGGCUCUGCGAAGUCGUAAGACGACGUAUAGGGUCUGACGCCUGCCCGGUGCCUGAAGGUUAAAAGGAGGGGUGAGAGCUCCGAAUUGAAGCCCAGGUAAACGGCGGCCGUAACUAUAACGGUCCUAAGGUAGCGAAAUUCCUUGUCGGGUAAGUUCCGACCUGCACGAAUGGCGUAACGACUUCCCCGCUGUCUCCAACAUAGACUCAGUGAAAUUGAAUUGCCUGUCAAGAUGCAGGCUUCCCGCGGUUAGACGGAAAGACCCCGUGCACCUUUACUACAACUUUACACUGAUAACAGGCACAAUAUGUGCAGAAUAGGUGGUAGGCUUUGAAGCAGGGACGCCAGUCCUUGUGGAGCCUCCUUUGAGAUACCACCCUUAUUUUUCUUGUUAUCUAACUGCGGUCCGUUAUCCGGAUCCAGGACCCUGUAUGGUGGGUAGUUUGACUGGGGCGGUCGCCUCCUAAAGCGUAACGGAGGCGCGCGAAGGUUGGCUCAGAGCGGUCGGAAAUCGCUCGUUGAGUGCAAUGGCAGAAGCCAGCCUGACUGCGAGACUGACAAGUCGAGCAGAGUCGAAAGACGGCCAUAGUGAUCCGGUGGUCCCGAGUGGAAGGGCCAUCGCUCAACGGAUAAAAGGUACGCCGGGGAUAACAGGCUGAUGGUGCCCAAGAGUCCAUAUCGACGGCACCGUUUGGCACCUCGAUGUCGGCUCAUCACAUCCUGGGGCUGGAGCAGGUCCCAAGGGUACGGCUGUUCGCCGUUUAAAGAGGUACGUGAGCUGGGUUUAGAACGUCGUGAGACAGUUCGGUCCCUAUCUGCCGUGGGUGUAGGAUACUUGAGAGGAGUUGCCCCUAGUACGAGAGGACCGGGGUGAACGAUCCACUGGUGGACCAGUUGUCGACUACGGCAGUGCUGGGUAGCUAUGAUCGGACAGGAUAACCGCUGAAAGCAUCUAAGCGGGAAGCCCCCCUCAAAACAAGGUAUCCCUGAGGACCGAGGUAGACCACCUCGU